UCAAGAAUGACUACACGUGUCUCUGGUUGGCAAGAUGCUACAUCAUGAAUUGUAAGGCCAGACUAGCCUGGGAGUUGUACCUUAAGGUGGAGACGUCUGGCGAAUCGUUCAGCCUGCUGUAGCUCAUUGCCAACGACGGCUACAAGCAGAUGGGCCAGUUUUACUAUGCAGCUAAGGCUUCCGAUGUAAAGAUUGGACACCAAUCCUGCAUACUGGGAAGGCAAGCGAGGGGCGUGCGUGGGCGUAUUCCAGCAGAUCAUAGCUGGCCAUGAACCAAGAGAAACACUGCGAGACAUCCUCCAAAUCUUGCGCAACACCGGUAACCCGCAGGUGGAAU